rnacentral:rRNA from 1 species
UGAGGAAUCUUCCGCAAUGGACGAAAGUCUGACGGAGCGACACCGCGUGAAGGAUGAAGGCUUUAUUGUUGUAAACUUCUUUUUUGAGGGAAGAUAAUGACGGUACCUCAAGAAUAAGGGACGGCUAACUACGUGCCAGCAGCCGCGGUAAUACGUAGGUCCCAAGCAUUAUCCGGAAUUACUGGGCGUAAAGCGUCUGUAGGUGGAUAAAUAAGUUUAGUAUGAAAGACCGAAGCUCAACUUCGUGUUUGUACUAAAAACUAUUUGUCUGGAACUAGGGAGGGGUAAGCGGAAUUCUCAGAGUAGAGGUGCAAUUCGUAGAUACUGAGAAGAACACCAAAAGCGAAGGCAGCUUACUGGAACUAUGUUGACACUGAGAGACGAAAGCGUGGGGAGCGAA